CGCACGUGAGCGGGCGCUACGCCGCUUUCUAAUUUUAGGUGGGCCGUCCGCGCGGGUCGUGCGAGGAAUAGUAAAGUUUAAAAAUAGCCUUACCAACACUCAUGGCAUGAAUAUAUGACCGGAAAAUUGCUGUGGAUCAAGCCCAGGCAAUUAUACAAAUUGGUCAGGUGCUCUGCCGCAGAGCUUCACACUCCCAGCUGAAAGAAACUAUCCAAUUCCAGCCAUCAUCAAGACCUGCUCAAACUUUGGCAGAUAUUUGAACUUGAUGCAUAGGAGAAUACAGUUCCUGGACAGUGCCCAGGUUGGGACAACUAAGAUGGAAUUUUAAGCCCCACUCUUGGAAGGAAACUCCAAAAUAGUUGCUGUUGUGUGAACUGUACCCACAAAGGUGCUCUGUCUUGCUUAUCUCCACUCCAUCUCAGGUCACACAUUGCUGUCAAGACUGGAUGUGUCACUGAGAGGGGGAGCUGUGAUCCCUGUUCCCACUCCUUCCAUGGAACACAAGGACUACACUACAGAAGUGACUAAGCUUUGGGCUCAUCACAGCAGUUAAAGCUACCUGUAUCAGAUUGACUUAGUAACACAGCCAGUAUUACCAGUUACCGUAGAAAACAAUAAUAUCCUGGUUCAGUUGUUUUUUUUUUACUUAUAAUCACAGUGCAUAAUUUGUAGGAUCUACACUUCUGAAAGAUCUACAGAUAGUCUCUCAGAGUCCAGGGUGGGGGGUGGGAUUCAUUGUGUUCAGACCUACUAAUUACAGCCAACAAAGCCAUAGGGAGAUUUUACCUAGAGUCCAACUGGAAAGAAGCUAAGCAUUAUUGGGGGAGGGAGAGAGAACUGGUUCCUUAAAGCAGGUUAAGAGAAAGCCAUUUAUCACCUAAAAGUGGAAAAGGUAUCCAACCCAAAAUAGGAAGUUGUCUAAACAUAUGAACACCAGAAAUAAAAAGAAAGUAAUAAGACAUCUAAAGUUUCUAAUUCUCUGGUAACUCAUUCCAAAGAUUCUAUAGUGAACAAAAUACAAAAAGAAAGUUGUCUUUUACAGACGAAAUUUCAAGAGGCUCUGAGAGAAAUUCAAGGGGACAAUGACUAAAGCAUUUGAUGAAAGUACCAAGGAACUCUCUGAAUGUUUCCAUGAGACAUCUGAGCAGGUAAAAGGCUGUAUGCCAAGCAAGACCAGAGAGUUAAAGGAAUCAAUACAAGGUUUGAAAGAGGAUGUAAGCGAAAUCUCAGAAAAGGUACAUCAGAUGACAAGAUCAAUAGGAAGAAGCACUAACCGAGUAGACCAACUGGAAGAAAGAAUAACAGAUCUUGAAGAUAGGUCUUUUGAACAAUUAGUGUUAGAGAGAAAUCUACAAAGAAAAAUUGAAGAACAAGGGCGAACUCUUGAGUAUUUAAUGAAAAAAUCAAACAUCCGUCUCAUUGGCAUACCUGAAGGAGAGGAGCUAAGGGUUGGAGGCCUAGCAGCCCUAUUCAAUAAAAUAAUAUCAGAAAAUUUCCCAGAUCUUGUGGAAAACAUGGAUAUCCAUGUACAGGAAGCAUUUAGAGCUCCAAGUAGAUCUGACCAGAUAAGUACUUAUCCAAGACAUAUCGUAAUUACAUUAUCAAGUGUGACAGACAAAAAAAGAAUUCUGCAGUCUGCCAGAGAAAAGCACAAAGUAACAUUUAAAGGCAAACACAUUAGAUUAACAGCAGAUCUCUCAGAAGCAACUCUAAAUGCCAGGAGGGCAUGGAAUGAUGUACUCCAAGUUCUGAAAGAAAAUAACUGCCAGCCAAGAUUACUAUACCCAGCGAGGCUGUCUUUCAGGUUUGAAGGAGAAAUAAAGACAUUCCAAGAUAAGAAUGGACUAAGGACAUUUAUGACCACUAAACCAGCAUUACAAAACAUGCUUGAGGGAAUUCUUCACUAAGAAGAGGGAGAAUAGUAUAAAACUUGAGAUUAAGAAGAAUAAAGUAACAAAAUACCUUUGGAAGAACCAGAGUAAUAGGAACAAGUGCACAUCUUUCAGUAUUAACUGAAUGUAAAUUAUCUUAAUUCUCCCAACUAAAAUAUCUCAACUAGCUGAGUGAAGGCCCAAUAUAUAGCCUACUAAAAAACUACACUUGCCAAGGCAUACAUUGGAAGGACGCAGAAAAAAAUCUUGGCAAUGUCACUAAUGAUUGAGGGGAUAGAUAGUUCGUCAAAAAGUAUACAUUUAUAUGUGCCAGGUUUGGACAUACUCGGUUUUAUGAAAAUAAACUCAUGAUAGGUUAUGAGUAGUAGAUGAAGCAGAAACUCAAGUGUUACUGGAAAAUUGGAUAUCUAUGCAUAGAAGAUUGAAAGUAGAAACUUCCCUUCCUGUACAAAAAUCAAAGUGGAUCAGACCUAAUUGUAGUUAGUAGUUGAUACUUGGAAUUGUUUCCCAGAUGAGAACCCAAGAGCACAGGAACCAAAAGGGAUGGACUACUCUGAUUAUAUCAAAUUAAAGCUGCAUGGCAACGGAGAUAAAAAUGGAGAGAAAUGAUUAGGGGAAAUCUUUGCUAUUCAUAUGGGAUAAUAAUGCCCACAAACUAAUAAAAUCCAAAAUGCUAUACAAGAUUUGAAUAGGUCUUAAAAUCAAAUGACCAAUUUAAGAAAAUUUUCUCAGCCAUGGGAGAAUUGCAAAUGAGAACUACAGUAGGUUCAGAUUCUUAGAGCUACUAGUGUUAGGCAAGAAUGGAGAAAAUGGACCUCCGCCUACAGUUGGGAAUGUAAAUUGGUACAGCCACUGUUCACAACAAAAUUGGAGGUUCCAUUCCAAGGUAUGUAUCAGCAAAUGAAGUAAACAUACAAGAGGUAAAUGCAUGCCCAUGGAAGAUACCCACAGUAGCCCAUAAAUCAGCCUAGGUGUCAAUAAAAUAGAUUUUAAAAUAGUCUAAACACAAUGGACCUUCAAUGGAAAAGUAAAAUCAUUUUCAGGAAAAUGGAACCAUAGAUUAAGUCAAGCAGUACUUGUUUUCUUUUGUCCAUGGCUCCUAUAAUACUAUCUACUUGGAAGGCAGAGAUAGGGAAAAUCAGAGUGUAAAGGCAAUAUAGGCCAAACAUUUUCAAGAGUCAGUGAAUGAAAAGCUGGAGAAGGUGGAUCAUACUUGUCAUAUCAGCAUAAGCAGGGUGUAUAAAUAGAUUGUCUCAGUGUGUCCCAUGGUUGAAGCAAGAUCCUACGCAAAGGGGGAGAGUCUAGAGGUGAGGCUCACCUGAUAGAACACCUGUCUGGUAUGCAUAAGCCAUGAGUAAAAAACCUGUGCCAAAAAACCCAUGAAAGGAGAAGAGGAACUAUCAAGAACUUGGAAAGUGACCAGGAAGAGGUGGGGAGAGUUAGAAGGGUAGGUGAACAUGGUACAUGCAUGCUCUGCUGUUUGUAAAUCCCACUGAGUCUCAUUUUGUCCAAUUUUGUUUGAAUAAAACUAAAAAUUUAACAACA